rnacentral:rRNA from 1 species
UGGGGAAUAUUGGACAAUGCGGGAAACCGUGAUCCAGCAAUGCCGCGUGAGUGAUGAAGGCCUUAGGGUUGUAAAGCUCUUUUACCCGGGAUGAUAAUGACAGUACCGGGAGAAUAAGCUCCAGCUAACACCGUGCCAGCAGCCGCGGUAAUACGGAGGAUGCAAGCGUUAUCCGGAAUAAUUGGGCGUAAAGCGUUCGUAGGUGGUUUUGUAAGUCUGCUGUUAAAGCGUGUAGCUUAACUACAUAUAGGCGGUGGAAACUACAAAACUAGAGUGCGUUCGGGGCAGAGGGAAUUCCUAGCGUAGCGGUGAAAUGCGUAGAGAUUAGGAAGAACACCGGCGGCGAAAGCGCUCUGCUAGGCCGCAACUGACACUGAGGGACGAAAGCUAGGGGAGCGAAUGGGAUUAGAUACCCCUGUAGUCC